AACGCGAAGAACCUUACCUGGUCUUGACAUCCACGGAAGUUUUCAGAGAUGAGAAUGUGCCUUCGGGAACCGCGAGACAGGUGCUGCAUGGCUGUCGUCAGCUCGUGUUGUGAAAUGUUGGGUUAAGUCCCGCAACGAGCGCAACCCUUAUCCUUUGUUGCCAGCGGUCCGGCCGGGAACUCAAAGGAGACUGCCAGUGAUAAACUGGAGGAAGGUGGGGAUGACGUCAAGUCAUCAUGGCCCUUACGACCAGGGCUACACACGUGCUACAAUGGCGCAUACAAAGAGAAGCGACCUCGCGAGAGCAAGCGGACCUUAUAAAGUGCGUCGUAGUCCGGAUUGGAGUCUGCAACUCGACUCCAUGAAGUCGGAAUCGCUAGUAAUCGUGGAUCAGAAUGCCACGGUGAAUACGUUCCCGGGUCUUGUACACACGC
rnacentral:rRNA from 1 species